rnacentral:rRNA from 1 species
UAAUAAAAGUAAGGGCAUACGGUGAAUGCCUUGGAAAAUGGAGCCGAAGAAGGACGUGACUACCUGCGAAAAGCAUCGGGGAGCUGGAAGUGAGCUUUGAUCCGAUGAUGUCCGAAUAGGGAAACCUGGCGAGACUAAUCUCUCGUCGUCGUUAAGUGAAUACAUAGCUUAACGUCGGGAACCUUGGGAACUGAAACAUCUUAGUACCAAGAGGAAAAGAAAACAAAUAGUGAUUCUCCUAGUAGCGGCGAGCGAACGGGGAACAGGCCAAACCGGUCUUCGGACCGGGGUUGUAGGACUUCUCUUAGAGUUACAAAAUUAACAUAUAGUGGAAAUAGUUGGGAAACUAUGACACAGAGGGUGAUAUCCCCGUACACGAAAUAUGUUAAUCUCGAAGAAGUAUCCUGAGUACGACGAAACACGUGAAAUUUUGUCGGAAUCUGUCGAGACCACUCGAUAAGCCUAAAUACUCCCAUUUUACCGAUAGUGAACCAGUACCGUGAGGGAAAGGUGAAAAGUACCCCGAGAGGGGAGUGAAAUAGUUCCUGAAACCGUAUGCUUACAAGAAGAUAGAGCCCGUUAAUGGGUGAUAUCGUGCUUUUUGUAGAAAGAGCCGGCGAGUUACAAUUGCAUGCAAGGUUAAGCUGAUUAAAAGUGGAGCCGUAGUGAAAGCGAGCCUUAAUAGGGCGUUCAGUAUGUAGUUGUAGACACGAAACCGAGUGAUCUAGCCAUGACCAGGUUGAAGUUGGGGUAAAACCCAAUGGAGGACCGAACCGACGUUCGUUGAAAAGACCGCGGAUGAGUUGUGGCUAGAGGUGAAAUUCCAAUCGAACUCGGAGAUAGCUAGUUCUCCCCGAUAUAUCUUUAAGGAUAGCGUCGAGGUUAGACUUGUGGAGGUAGAGCACUGAAUUUAUGAUGGCCGCACCUAGCGGUACUGAUUAAAAUUAAACUCCGAAUGCCAUAAGUUAUACUCGGCAGUCAGAACAUGGGUGAUAAGGUCCAUGCUCGUGAGGGAAACAGCCCAGAUCGCCAGUUAAGGUCCCUAAGUUAAUACUAAGUGUGUAAGGAUGUGAAAUUGCACAGACAGCUAGGAUGUUGGCUCAGAAGCAGCCAUCAUUUAAAGAGUGCGUAACAGCUCACUAGUCGAGUGAUUUUGCGCCGAAAAUGUACCGGGGCUUAAGUAUUACACCGAAACUGCGGAUUGUAUAUUUAUAUACAGUGGUAGGGGAGCGUUCCAAACGCAAUGAAGUCAGACCGUGAGGACUGGUGGAGUGUUUGGAAGUGAUUAUGCCGGCAUGAGUAACGUUUGAAGGUGAGAAUCCUUCAUGCCGUUUAACCAAGGUUUCCUGGGCAAGGUUCGUCCACCCAGGGUUAGUCAGGACCUAAGGAGAGGCCGAGAGGCGUAUUCGAUGGACAACAGGUUGAUAUUCCUGUACUGGUUAAUUAGUGAUGGAGUGACGGAGAAAGAUAGUGUAUCCCAGGCGUUGGUUGUCCUGGGCCAAGCGCAAAGGUGGUGUUGUAGGCAAAUCCGCAACAUAUUCAACAUUGAAGCGUGAUGGGGAGCGAACGGUUCGCCUAGUAGUGAAGUACAUGACUCUAUGCUUCCAAGAAAAGCUUCUAACUUAAUAAUUAAUCACCUGUACCUAGAACGAACACACGUGGUUAAGGAGAAAAUCCUAAGGCAAGCGAGAAAACUGUAGUUAAGGAACUCUGCAAAAUCACCCCGUAAGUUCGCAAGAAGGGGUGCUCAGCUUACGCUGAGCCGCAGUGAAGAGGGAGGGGCAACUGUUUAACAAAAACACAGCUCUCUGCUAAGUCAUAAGACGAAGUAUAGGGGGUGACGCCUGCCCAGUGCCGGAAGGUUAAAAGGAGAUGUCAGGCUUUGAGCCAAAGCAUUGAAUUGAAGCCCCGGUGAACGGCGGCCGUAACUAUAACGGUCCUAAGGUAGCGAAAUUCCUUGUCAGGUAAAUUCUGACCCGCACGAAAGGCGUAAUGAUCCCUUCGCUGUCUCAACUACAGACUCGGUGAAAUUUUAGUACCAGUGAAGAUGCUGGUUACCCGCAACUAGACGGAAAGACCCCGUGGAGCUUUACUAUAACUUGAUAUUGAAAUUUGGUGCAACGUGUAGAGGAUAGGUCGGAGACUUUGAAGCACACUCGCUAGAGUGUGUGGAGUCGCCCUUGGAAUACGACCCUCGUUGCAUUGACUUUCUAACUUCGACCCGUUAUCCGGGUUAAGGACAGUGUCUGGUGGGUAGUUUGACUGGGGCGGUCGCCUCCUAAAAUGUAACGGAGGCGCUCAAAGGUAUCCUCAGCAUGGUUGGAAAUCAUGCAUAGAGCGCAAAGGUAGAAGGAUGCUUAACUGCGAGACUUACAAGUCGAACAGAUGCGAAAGCAGGACUUAGUGAUCCGGCGGUCCCGAGUGGAAGGGCCGUCGCUCAACGGAUAAAAGUUACCCCGGGGAUAACAGGCUGAUCUCCCCCAAGAGUUCACAUCGACGGGGAGGUUUGGCACCUCGAUGUCGGCUCAUCGCAUCCUGGAGCUGAAGUCGGUUCCAAGGGUUGGGCUGUUCGCCCAUUAAAGCGGUACGCGAGCUGGGUUCAGAACGUCGUGAGACAGUUUGGUCCCUAUCUGUUGUGGGCGUCGGAAAAUUGAGAAGAGUUGACUCUAGUACGAGAGGACCGAGUUGAACACACCCCUGGUGCUCCAGUUGUCGUGCCAACGGCACAGCUGGGUAGCUAAGUGUGGACAGGAUAAUCGCUGAAGGCAUCUAAGCGAGAAGCCCCCUUCGAGAUGAAUUUUCCCACCUGAUUUAUCAGGUUAAGAUCCCAUGUAGACCACAUGGUUGAUAGGAUGGAUGUGUAAGUACCGUGAGGUAUUAAGCUAACCAUUACUAAUAGAUCGAAAGAAAUUAGACG